CAAUAGCCCCGAUAGGAGUGGAAAUCCUGUUGUUGUGAGAUUGCUGCGCAAGCUCGCUACGACAGAAUUGCAACGGAUAGCGGGAACAGGG
rnacentral:sRNA from 1 species